rnacentral:lncRNA from 1 species
GAGAUAAAGGAGAACCAGGAGAGCAGGUGAGGCUGAUUGAUAUUUUCUUUCUAGAGAACAUCUAAAUUGUUCAUUAAGAUGACUGUCUGAAUGUCUUUGUCGGGUCCAGGGGCCAGAGGGUCUUCCAGGCGACAGGGGGCACCAAGCGUCUCCUGGAUUGGAGGUAGGAACACAGACAUGUGAACUGUGGUGUUGAUAUGUCUUUGGCAACAUGACGUAAGUUGGUAAACAUUUUGGUUGAUGUUUUUUUCUACUCAUCCCUACUCUUAGGGUUUGCCUGGUGAGGUGGGGCCUCAGGGAACUGUUGGCCCACCAGGACCUUUGGUAAGUGCUACAAUAACGUGUUAGACCUUAUAUACAAAUGAAACACACAUGUUCCAAUAUCUUCACCAGAAAUAAAUGUCUACUGAUGACGUUUUAGGAUAAGUCAACAUUACCUUUUUGCUCUUCAGGGACCAAAAGGUCGAACAGGCCCUGAGGGGAGACUUGGCCAGAAAGGUCAAAAGGUCAGGUUAAGCUUCACCUUUCACCUGUCUUUACAUCUACAUAUAUAGUAUUUAACACUCUGUCCCAUUCUGACAUCCUACCUGUAUCAAAGGCCAUAUCAUAAUGUCCACUUAGUGUAGUAUGUGAUUGUAGGUCUUUCUUUUUGUCAGGGGUAUGAUGGUCGAAAUGGGUAUCCAGGAAAGACCGGACACAUUGGAAGGAGGGUGAGAAUUACACCAUUGCUUAUUCAGUCUCUCUUUUUCAUAUGUUAAAAAUGUAUCGUUCCAACUAAUAUGGAUCUUGAUUCUUCAUUUGAUUCUAAAAGCUGUUCUUGUUUCCAUGUAAGGGGAAUAGAGGAAAAACUGGAAGCAAAGGCUUAGGUGGAGAGAGAGGAGAAAAGGGAAAGAGGGGAGAUUUUGGUUCAACCGGGCCUCCAGGACGACAAGGGCCUUACGUAAGUUAUUUGAUCUGUUUUGGAAAGGCACUUUUCAAUGCCAGGAGGAUUAGCUCUAUAACUCAAUCACUGGGUCCCCAAAACUCAGGAAAUAACUUCCCUUGUUUCUCUCAAAGGGGACACCUGGCUUACAAGGAGAGAAGGGUCUAAUGGGUGGACCAGGUAUAGAGGUAAGACCUUGACUGA